UACGGGGGGGGCAAGCGUUGUUCGGAAUUACUGGGCGUAAAGGGCUCGUAGGUGGCCAAUUAAGUCAGACGUGAAAUCCCCAGGCUCAACUUGGGAACUGCGUCUGAUACUGGUUGGCUUGAAUUCGGGAGAGGGAUGCAGAAUUCCAGGUGUAGCGGUGAAAUGCGUAGAUAUCUGGAGGAAUACCGGUGGCGAAGGCGGCAUCCUGGACCGAGAUUGACACUGAUGAGCGAAAGCCAGGGGAGCAAACGGGA
rnacentral:rRNA from 1 species